rnacentral:rRNA from 1 species
UAAUUCGAUGCAACGCGAAGAACCUUACCUACUCUUGACAUCCAGAGAAUUUAGCAGAGAUGCUUUAGUGCCUUCGGGAACUCUGAGACAGGUGCUGCAUGGCUGUCGUCAGCUCGUGUUGUGAAAUGUUGGGUUAAGUCCCGCAACGAGCGCAACCCUUAUCCUUUGUUGCCAGCGAUUCGGUCGGGAACUCAAAGGAGACUGCCGGUGAUAAACCGGAGGAAGGUGGGGAUGACGUCAAGUCAUCAUGGCCCUUACGAGUAGGGCUACACACGUGCUACAAUGGCGUAUACAAAGAGAAGCGACCUCGCGAGAGCAAGCGGAACUCAUAAAGUACGUCGUAGUCCGGAUUGGAGUCUGCAACUCGACUCCAUGAAGUCGGAAUCGCUAGUAAUCGUAGAUCAGAAUGCUACGGUGAAUACGUUCCCGGGCCUUGUACACACCGCCCGUCACACCAUGGGAGUGGGUUGCAAAAGAAGUAGGUAGCUUAACCUUCGGGAGGGCGCUUACCACUUUGUGAUUCAUGA